rnacentral:rRNA from 1 species
UGCAAGUCAACUUGAAUUUGGGUUUUUAACUUAGAUUUGGGUGGCGGACGGGUGAGUAACGCGUAAAGAACUUGCCUCACAGCUAGGGACAACAUUUAGAAAUGAAUGCUAAUACCUGAUAUUAUGAUUUUAAGGCAUCUUAGAAUUAUGAAAGCUAUAAGCACUGUGAGAGAGCUUUGCGUCCCAUUAGCUAGUUGGAGAGGUAACAGCUCACCAAGGCGAUGAUGGGUAGCCGGCCUGAGAGGGUGAACGGCCACAAGGGGACUGAGACACGGCCCUUACUCCUACGGGAGGCAGCAGUGGGGAAUAUUGGACAAUGGACCGAGAGUCUGAUCCAGCAAUUCUGUGUGCACGAUGAAGUUUUUCGGAAUGUAAAGUGCUUUCAGUUGGGAAGAAAAAAUGACGGUACCAACAGAAGAAGUGACGGCUAAAUACGUGCCAGCAGCCGCGGUAAUACGUAUGUCACGAGCGUUAUCCGGAUUUAUUGGGCGUAAAGCGCGUCUAGGUGGUUAUGUAAGUCUGAUGUGAAAAUGCAGGGCUCAACUCUGUAUUGCGUUGGAAACUGUAUAACUAGAGUACUGGAGAGGUAAGCGGAACUACAAGUGUAGAGGUGAAAUUCGUAGAUAUUUGUAGGAAUGCCGAUGGGGAAGCCAGCUUACUGGACAGAUACUGACGCUAAAGCGCGAAAGCGUGGGUAGCAAACAGGAUUAGAUACCC